GAGCUCACCGACGCGUGUAAGCAUCUCUCUUGGCCCCUCAAAAAAAAAUCUCAUUCUCAAAAAAACAACAACAAAUCUCUCUCGGCUCCUCCACUCGUCGGCGCGCGUCACCAUCUCCAUCUCCGCCGACCCCCGCCGACCACCCGACUGUCUCUCCGUCCAUCGCGGUGGCGCCGGAGCCGGUGAAGCAGAAUGGACGACCAAGGAAUCCCUUCCCACCCCUCGCGCGUCCAUCUCCGGCCUGCUCCGAUUCCUAUCCCCCCUCUCCCUCCCACGCGGCGCCGAGUCAGCCGACCACCAACCCCUCCCGAGGUAGGUCAGGAAGGUACCUCACCCCGAACCCGAAGGUACACGCACGCACUGACGUCUCUUCCGCUCGGAGCUUUGCGUCACAUACUCACAUGGUGGCGCCUGGCGCGGUGCGCACAUGGAAGAUGCAGAUUGCAGAGAUACGUGCGUACUUCUGUAUCCGCGCGCGAUCAAGUCGUGCAACCGCAGUUGCAAAGCAUGCCAGUUGGAUUCUAGCGAUUCCCGCGUACAAGUUUGGGGUGUCGGUUCACCACACCCGACGCAAAGGAUUCCCUUACAUUGGGAUUCUGUUUCAUAUUUUGCUGUGAUGAUGCACUGUCCCUAGAUUUUGGGUUCUAGCGGUUCCCGUGUAUAACCUUGGCGUGUCAGUUCGAGGAAACUGUGCUAAUUAGCAUGCGAUAAUCAGGGGGUUCUUCUUAAUACUAGCCACAGUGCUUUUAUUUUAGUCAUUCGAGAGUAGUCAUGGCAGGACAAGUGCAGACAGACUGUACUGGUCAUGAGAUUCUGUUCAUAUGUGGUGGUGAUGCAGUAGGACUAAAAUUAUCUCUGAACACGAGUCGAGCGUUGGGCUGUAGCGGUCUCCAUGUUUAAGAGUUGAAGGAGACAAUGCUAAUUAGCACAUGAUAGUCAUGGACUCGUAAUUUUGCAUUCCGUCGGUUUUAAUUCUGUUAGCGUUUUGUUUUGCUAAUAGUGGUGGGGAAGGAAUCGAAGGCUUCGAACACGAGCAUGUAUUUUGCUUCGAGUAAUGAUGUCAAUUUUAUUCGAUUCAAACGCUUUGGUUAGCAAAAGCAGAGGGAGUAAUUAUUUCUUUACAGAGGGAGUAAUUGUCAGCAAAACCAGGGUAAGCUUUGCUCCGGGAUGGUGCCUACAUGACGCUCCUUCCCUAAUAUUUUUUCCUGGUCUGAGUCGUGAGUCAGAAGGUCCACGUUAACUGAAGCGAAUUAGAUUUAUCUGGAAUAUCUUGACUUUGGAGAAUAACUCCGACCUUAGCUUGCCAAGCUUGUUUAGCAGGAAUUUACCCCACUUGCACCAACUUGCCAGUACUUUAGUUUUCUAUAGUUAGGCAGCUUGGAUUAUGCAGGUGAUGGUGACAAGUUUCCACAGUACUAGUGGCUGUUAACUUCCCAUUUCAAAGUUCAAUGUACUUCCGAUUUCAAUAAUAGGACUAAAAUUAUCUCUUACAUGUCUCUAAUAUGGGGUUCUAGACUUCUAGUGGUCUCCAUGUUUAAGAGUUGGAGGAGACCAUGCUUGUUAGUACAUGAUAGUCAUGGACUUUUAAUUAUGUAUUCCGCCGGUUACAAUUUUCUCUCAGCAUUUUGUUUCUCUAAUAUGGGGAAGGAUUGGAAUACGAGCAUUUAUAUUGUUUUGAUAAAUGACAUCAAAUUUAUUCGAUUCAAACAUCUAAUUGUUAGCAAAACCAGGGUUAAGCCUUCAUGACAUGUCUCCCCUAAUAUUAUUCGUGGUCUAGGUGGUGAGUCAUAGUGUCCAUAUUAACAGGAACGAAUCAUAUUUAUUGUUCACUAAAAAUAAUCAGAUUUAUCUAAAUCUUUUUGACUGGAGAAUAGCUCCAACCUUAGCUUGCCAAGCUUGUUUAACAGGAAUCUAUCGUGCAGCAACUUGCCAGUACUUAUGUUUUCUAUAGCUAGGCACCUUAGAUUAUGCAGCUGAUGGUGACAGAUUUGUACAGUACUAGUGGCUGUUACCUUCUAAUUUCAAAGUUCAAUGAUUUCCCAUAAUUGUUGAAAUUUCCGGCCGUCUAGCUAGGCUCAUAUUUCAGUAAUGUCUCAGUCAUCUGAAAGAGAAAUCAGUUGACCAUGCAUUGCCGCCCUUGGACUGUAAUAUAUUGCUUACUCUAACCUGAAUUUAACCAUACGCAAGUCUAUGUGGUAGGAUGCAAACAAUAUAUUGACCUCAGUUGACAGUGAAUUUUUACUUUAAUGUACACAGGCCUCGAGUUGUAGUUUACCUAGAGGAGAGAUCGGUUGUCUUCUAUCGUGACCGUGGGAUUCUAUCUUGAGAGUAAGGCAUAUUGCAGAGGUUUAUUUUUGAACUGCAUGAGGUAUGCCAUUCAUGGGACCAUGCUGUAAUAUAUCUGACCCCUUGAGAAAUUUGUUUUGGCUGGCAGUUCUUAGUGAGCUGAUAGGCUAGCCAACUAGUAAGUGAUGCAUCAAACCAGAAAUUAGCAUGUCCUCUAGUGUUUGCUAAUCUCAAAUUUUUCGUUUACCUUGUGGGAAGACAAAUUUCUUGUACUAGAAUUAAGUUUCGUUCUUCAGAGGAGGACAGCGCACAGCCACACAGGCAAACCACGUUAUUCUAGCAUGCUUGUCUAAUCAAUGGCAUCGGAACCUUCUGCCUCCCUCUCGUCCAGAUAAACCAAGCAUAUACUGUACAGUGCUAGUGCGUCUUCGUUUGUACUUCCCUUUGGCAUUCAUGUUAAGUACGUGUACCGUGUAUCUUAUGCGGGAUUAGGGAACAUACCGAUAGACAAAGGAUGAUGCUUUAGGUGACUUGCUACCUAGCUGGGGAUUAGGAGACCACCAAGCUGAUGCUACAGAACGGAAAGCAACAGUUUGUUUUGCUGCUCUUGUUUUCAGCAAUUGCUGUGAGGGGCUCCUCUCAACCACCGAACCCCAUAGGCCUUCUAUUGGUGGAAUUCUUAGUGAUCUUUGUCCACUGUUCUUCCUUCCCAUAUUUUUGAAGAUGUUAGGCCACGUUGCGUCAGUGAAAUGCCGACAAGUGUCGUUUGAGAAUCUCUCUAUUAUCAGCUUAAACCCUCUGACCUCCACCACUUGUUUCAAACCUUUAUUCUUAUUCCCACUGAAUAGUUCAAGAGCAAAAGUGUUAUAUAUAUUUAGGCAAAUGCUGAUUCCAUCAAUGUAUUAGCAUAUAAUACUGAAUAUUUGAUUCAUGUUGUCUAAUUAAUAGUUUCUUUCCUUGUCCAGCAGCAGUGCUUACCAACUAUGAUUAUGAUGAUAAUUAGGUAUCCACCUGCCGUCCUUAACUCAUUUGAUGUCAGUGAGCAUGUUUCCUGAGCAUGCUGGGCUCCCGCGUCGUUGACAAAAUGGGCCAUACAAUCAUUCCUGUUAGUCUCAACUCUCAAGGAAUUAAUUUGAGCCCUCUAUGACGAAAUCUUGUAGGGUGUGGUGGGGGCAUAUGAUACUUAAUGUCCGGUUGUGAAGGCAGUUGUACUGCUGGUUGUGAUGAAAAGUACCAUGCUGCCAAGAUCCUUUUUAAAGUGAUUUCUUCUUUUACAUCAUAUUGUCUACACUCUUACAGUUGUACUUUGGCAUCUUUUUCUUUUUCUGGUCGAACACAACAAUAUUCCAUGACCAAGUAAAUUCACAAUGUUACUCUUGACAAUGUGCAGAUUUUGCCAGCUUUGCUUGUCCUGUAAUAAAGACAUCUCAGCAUAGUGCAGGAAAAAAUAUUUAGUUACCUCAGUGGAAUCAUCCAGACUCUCUCCAGAGGAAAAAAAAACUUAUACAAUGCUGAAAGCUCUCCGGAACACACCAUUUGUGCACUUGUAAUCUGAAGUUCUGAAAUAGUCAGUGAAAAGCUGUACAUGGUUGGACUCCAUCCAGAUUUUCCUGCUGUUGGUAGUUUCUGGAAACGAUCAUUUUGGAAUUGCCAGGCGGGAAGGCAGGAGAAACAUUCAGAUCAGUAGCAAGAGGCAGCCUGGAACCAGGAAAUCUGUGUGGCCUACGCUUGUGUUUUGGAGGGCUCGUCUCAGCUCAGUACGGAGGUUCUGAUUUCAGCAGUCGCAGGUGAUCUUGCCAGCCGUUUCAUCUCAUUCCUAGCUCACAUAUAUGACACUCGAACUUGUGAGGAUGAUGAUCGUAGAAGGCUGGAACUCGUGUUGCUAAGGAUCCACGCUGUUGUUGAGGAAGCAGAGGGGCGGCACAUCACAAAUCGAAGAAUGUUCUUGCAGCUUAAGGCACUCAUUCAGGGUGUGUAUCUUGGGCAUUACAUGCUCGAUAGGUGCAAGGCAGUCUCAGGAAGUACUUGUUUGUUGUGGAUUUCAUCUUAUGAUGUGGAUGAGACGACAUGGGCAAACUUCCAAUCAUAUUUGCAGAAGUUGCCAGGCACUGAGAUCAAAAUUGUAGUGACAGGCAGAGCAGAGCAAGUUGCAAACUUGGGGACUGCUCAACCCAUCAGGCUGAAGAGUCUGUCUGAAGAAGAGUCCUGGUACUACUUCAAGGCACUUGCCUUUGGAAGCAUGGAUCCCGAUGAGCAUCCAAAACUGGCAUCUUUGGGUAUGCAACUAGCAACACUCCUACAGGGAUUAUUUCUUGGUGCAAAUAUACGAGCCACUAAGAGCGAGCCCAAAUGCUCAAUUCUUGCGUGGUGUAUUAUGUAGCAUAAGGGGACUGGCUCACAAACACUUGAGGUCCUUCGGCACGCACCCAGAGGAAUUUCUGGAGAGAAUACUCCUCUGAAUUAUACCAAUGUGGCCUUAGUGGGCGGUAAAGCUCAAGGAUGCCAUGCAUAUAUGAUUUUUGGGAGGCGAGCUGCCAAAGCUGACAUCGCAGGAGCUACUGCACCCGUCCUGAGGUGUUCCUGCCGAAGACAAGUUUGAGGUGUUGGGAUGGAGAUCUCGGAUCCCUCCUAACUUUGAUUAUGUUUUUACUUACGAGAAACAGAAGCACCGUCGUAGCAUCGGCAAGAAGAAUCAUCUGGCAUGGAAAAAAACAUCGGCAUGAAUUUUAAUUUGGCCGACAGAGGUGCACGGAGGAGUUAUCUGUAUGCCCAUCCUUAUUCUAGAUGUAAUUCGAACCUUUUUGCUAAUAUGCACUUGUUAAACAGGAUAUGUAAAGGGCAGUCACUUCCUAUUGCUACAUCACGCUUCUGACUAUUCUCAUGUAUAUGGUCAAUUCAGUUUAACCCAGUAUGUGUCGAUGACUAA